AGUGAACGCUGGCGGUAGGCCUAACACAUGCAAGUCGAACGGCAGCACAGUAAGAGCUUGCUCUUACGGGUGGCGAGUGGCGGACGGGUGAGGAAUACAUCGGAAUCUACUUUUUCGUGGGGGAUAACGUAGGGAAACAUACGCUAAUACCGCAUACGACCUACGGGUGAAAGCAGGGGAUCUUCGGACCUUGCGCGAUUGAAUGAGCCGAUGUCGGAUUAGCUAGUUGGCGGGGUAAAGGCCCACCAAGGCGACGAUCCGUAGCUGGUCUGAGAGGAUGAUCAGCCACACUGGAACUGAGACACGGUCCAGACUCCUACGGGAGGCAGCAGUGGGGAAUAUUGGACAAUGGGCGCAAGCCUGAUCCAGCCAUACCGCGUGGGUGAAGAAGGCCUUCGGGUUGUAAAGCCCUUUUGUUGGGAAAGAAAAGCAGCAGGUUAAUACCCCGCUGUUCUGACGGUACCCAAAGAAUAAGCACCGGCUAACUUCGUG
rnacentral:rRNA from 1 species